GAUAAACGCUGGCGGCGUGCAUAACACAUGCAAGUCGAACGAAGUGGCGAACGGGUGAGUAACACGUGAGUAACCUGCAUUACACAAGGGGAUAGCCUUUGGAAACGAAGAAUAAUACCCUAUGGUGUACGAUGGGAUUGCGUCUGAUUAGCUAGUUGGUGGGAUAAAGGCCCACCAAGGCAACGAUCAGUAGCCGGCUUGAGAGAGGGUCCGGACACAUUGGGACUGAGACACGGCCGAAAUUCUACGAGAGGCAGCAGUGGUGAAUUUUGCACAAUGGGGGAAACACUGAUGCAGCGACGCCGCGUGAUUUAGAAGGCCUUCGGGUUGUAAAAAUCUUUUUUAUGAGAUGCAGUACCAUAAGAAUAAGGUCCGGCUAAAUACGUGCCAGCAGCCGCGGUAAUAC
rnacentral:rRNA from 1 species